UAAUACGGAGGAUCCGAGCGUUAUCCGGAUUUAUUGGGUUUAAAGGGUGCGUAGGCGGGAUAAUAAGUCAGUGGUGAAAGUUUGCAGCUUAACUGUAAAAUUGCCGUUGAUAACUGUUAUUCUUGAGAGUAGAUAAGGUAGGCGGAAUGUGUUGUGUAGCGGUGAAAUGCAUAGAUAUAACACAGAACCCCGAUUGCGAAGGCAGCUUACCGGGCUACAUCUGACGCUGAUGCACGAAAGCGUGGGGAUCAAACAGGAUUAGAUACCCUGGUAGUCCACGCAGUAAACGAUGAAUACUAGCUGUAUGCGAUAUACUGUAUGUGGCAAAGCG
rnacentral:rRNA from 1 species